CCUGCCUCAGCAAGCGUACCUGAGAAUACUUUUAAAGGAACCUGUUGAUAAAUGCAAAACAGUGGCUGUUGCAGAUUGGAAAGAAGACUGAUGAAGAAAAAUAACAGCAUGAUUCAGGCACACCAUUGAGUUCUUUGGGAUGCCCGAAAGUGUCUGGUUGGGAAACAUGAAAUAGAAGACGAGAA
rnacentral:sRNA from 1 species